rnacentral:sRNA from 1 species
CUGAACAUUUGAUGAUCGGCAUUAUUGCAUGCAAAUCACCAUGAAACAGUAGUGCAGAUGGAUGGAGGCGAAUUUUAGAGAAUUAAUGUUUUCAGGGAGGAGAUAAUGAGAUGGAUCGAUUACUAUCGCGUUUGCAGGUUAAUUGGGAGCAAUGAGCACUGACACGAGAAGCUGCGAUGUGAAGAUAUGAAUGGCUUCCUGUCUCUCCCAGCCUGACGAAGUCUUGUCAUCUGCAGCUGUAGUAGCCUAAUCUGAAUAUUUAUCUGAUAUUUCUUGUCGUCAGAAACGGCUUAGAAUUAGUUGGUGAUUGACUUUUGGUGUGUAGGAAAAGAAGAAAAAAAAAACAGAAAAGGAACAGAUGCUAAAGGUGUUGUGGGGUGUGUGUGUGUGUGUGUGAGUGUGAUCAUGGACUGCUCGGUGUACAUAUUAUUGUCCGGUUAGUGUGGAUCUCCCUUUCUUUCUUUUUGCUACUGAUGUUAUCCUUUUUUUCUUAGUGCGCAUCUUGUUGCAUUCAUAUGGACUUUGACCGUGGAUAAAGAUAAGGGAUUUUUUUCAACUUUGGAAAGCAUGGAUGAUCGCUAUUUAAUCUC